GUAACUACGAGGGUACGGCUAGGUUCGGGAAAUUUUAGAUAAUACUGGUGACUGGCAAGGUCCGUAACUAAGGGUUGCGGCUAGGUUCAGCACAGUGUUUUGAAUAAAAUAGAAGAGGCUGUGUGCCCAAAUAGAUUGUGUGUGGAACAUGGGUGUAAUUGAUGACUGUGUGACAUAUUUGACUGUAUGAUAGGAUUAUGACUGUGUAUUGUGAGUGAGGGCGAUAACUGUGCACUAUUUUUGCUGGGUGAUAACUGUAUACUACGUUUAACUGUGUACCAUUUUUGACUGUGAAUACAAAGAAUAUUUUAAAAAAACAGUAAAUAAUGAGAAAUGCAAUUAGGAACUAAAGUUUAAAGUGUGCGUUAACAAAAAACACCCAUAGGAGGUACUAUAAAAGUUAGACAGUGCGAGUGUUGUCGGAUGCAUGAAAGUGUGAAUGAUAAACCUGUAUACCUUGAUAGAAAACAAAUUGGGAAUCAAAAGACGUUUGUGGCUGACCAAACGGUAUAAUUUGGGAAUAAAUGUUGGAUUUGUGGUUACUCAAACCAUAUAACCCGUCAGUAACAAUCGAAAACAUGAAAUGAAAAGUUAAGAAUGAGUGUGACUGAACUAAAACGGUUGAAUUGAUAUAUUGAAAUAUAACGUUUGGUGUUUGAAAUAGCAUAAUACUGCUUUUGAAUAGUUGUGUCGAAACAAUUCGGUUUAGUAUUUGAUUUGAGGUUUGAUGUUUGACAUAGAAUAAUACUG